rnacentral:rRNA from 1 species
GACGAACGCUGGCGGCGUGCCUAACACAUGCAAGUCGAGCGGUCUUAUAGCGAGAAGUGACUUGUCACUUCAUGCUACAAGAUAGCGGCGGACGGGUGAGUAACACGUGGGUAACCUGCCUUAUACAAAGGGAUAACACCGGGAAACCGGUGCUAAUACCGUAUAACAUAUAUCUUGGGCAUCUGAGAUAUAUCAAAGGCAUAUCGUAAAGGUAAGCCGGUAUAAGAUGGGCCCGCGUCCGAUUAGCUAGUUGGUGGGGUAAAAGCUUACCAAGGCAACGAUCGGUAGCCGGACUGAGAGGUUGACCGGCCACAUUGGGACUGAGACACGGCCCAGACUCCUACGGGAGGCAGCAGUGGGGAAUAUUGCGCAAUGGGGGAACCCUGACGCAGCGACGCCGCGUGAAGGAAGAAGGUCUUCGGAUUGUAAACUUCUUUGACUGGGGACGAAGGAAGUGACGGUACCCAGAUAACAAGCCACGGCUAACUACGUGCCAGCAGCCGCGGUAAUCACG